GAUGAGGUGUCCGAGAGGUUAAGGAGAUGGACUGCUAAUCCAUUGUGCUUUGCACGCAUGGGUUCAAAUCCCAUCCUCAUCG
rfam:Oryzias latipes DNA, scaffold1476, strain: Hd-rR.